CUACGGGGUGCACCAGUGGGGAAUAUUGGACAAUGGGGGAAACCCUGAUCCAGCAAUGCCGCGUGUGUGAAGAAGGCCUGCGGGUUGUAAAGCACUUUCGGUUGGGAGGACUGCUUCUAGCACUAAUAUUGUUGGAAGUUGACGUUACCUUCAGAAGAAGCACCGGCUAACUCCGUGCCAGCAGCCGCGGUACUACGGAGGGUGCAAGCGUUAAUCGGAAUUACUGGGCGUAAAGCGCGCGUAGGCGGCUAGAUCAGUCGGGUGUGAAAGCCCCGGGCUUAACCUGGGAACUGCAUCCGAUACUGCCUAGCUUGAGUACAGGAGAGGAGAGUGGAAUUCCACAUGUAGCGGUGAAAUGCGUAGAUAUGUGGAGGAACACCAAUGGCGAAGGCAGCUCUCUGGCCUGAUACUGACGCUGAGGUGCGAAAGCGUGGGGAGCAAACAGGAUUAGAUACCCUCGUAGUC
rnacentral:rRNA from 1 species